CCUUCCAGCACUGCACUUUUGAUUUACCUGCACCGUUUGUGCUCCUUCACUACUGGCGUUUUCAUCUUCCAGCAAAAACUUCCACUGUACCACUAAAAGUAAUCUUUGAUUCUAACCUCAGAAUUGUUUGUCCAGGUGAAACGGAAGUGGAGUUCUCAACCAGAUUAGUCAAGAAUGCAGAGGAUCUAAUUCAUUAAAGAGGGACCAGAAACAAUUGGUGCUUUUAUCGCUGAACCAGUCAUGGUUGCUGUUCGUGUGAUACCUCCACCUGCUACGUAAUUCGAAAAGGUCCAAGCUGUUGUUUGCAGUAUGAUAUCCUGCUCAUUGCUGUUGAAGUAUGUGCAUAUCUAACUGAACCAUGUUCAUUACCAUGACCCCAAAAUCGAUGGAGAACAAAAAUACAUGACUAACCAUUUGUAUUUUGUUUGGCCUUUAAGUGAA